AUUUAGGGUUAGGUUUUGGUUUAGAAUUUGGUUAGGAUUUGGUUUAGGAUUUAGGAUUUAGAUUAGGAUUUGAUUUAGGGUUUAGGAUUUGGUUUAGGGUUUAGGAUUUAGAAUUUAGUUAGGGUUUUUUUUAAGACUUAGGGUUUGGAUUAGGAUUUGGUUUAGGGUCUAGGAUUUGGAUUAGGAUUUGGUUUAGGAUUUAGUGUUUGGUUUAGGAUUUAGUGUUUGAUUUAGGAUUUGAUUAGGAUUUGGUUAGGAUUUUAUUUAGGAUUUAAGGUUUGUUUAGGGUUUUAUUUAGGGUUUAGGAUUUUAUUAGGAUUUAAGAUUUAAUUAGUUUUGGCAUAAAUUUUGAAUGAAAUUCAAUAGGAUUUUAACUAAAAUUAAAUUAAGGUUGAAUUGAGAUGUAUUCGAGUGAUAUUUGUGAUCCUUCUAAUAUUUCUUUAAGAAUUUUUAUUGUUUGUUUGAAAUUUCUUGAGAUUUUUU
rnacentral:lncRNA from 1 species